UACGAAGGGGGCGAGCGUUGUUCGGAAUUACUGGGCGUAAAGGGCGCGUAGGCGGCCGAUCAAGUCAGAUGUGAAAGUCCUGGGCUUAACCUGGGGACUGCAUUCGAUACUGAUUGGCUUGAAUGCAGGAGAGGAUAGCGGAAUUCCCAGUGUAGAGGUGAAAUUCGUAGAUAUUGGGAAGAACACCGGUGGCGAAGGCGGCUAUCUGGACUGUGACUGACGCUGAGACGCGAAAGCGUGGGGAGCAAACAGG
rnacentral:rRNA from 1 species